CCCCCUGUGAAGCAGCAGGUCCUAGUGCUUUCCUCGCUUCCUCUCCUCUCUAACCUGCUUCCUGAAAUGGAGAUCCAACAUGAAAGCUGGGCCUCUGACUGCAUCUGGAGUCUAUGAACUAGGAGCAAAUCGCAGGCCCCAUGGCCCAUCCUGGGAGUGGUCUUGAGAAGACAGUCUACCUGCAUCAAGAACCUGGACUUUGGCUGUAAUUGCACAUGGCUCCAUCUGUCCAUCUGUUUUGUUUUAGUUUGAGGAUCCAGGAAGACAAGUGUACUGGAGAAAGAACACAUCGAUUCUUGGGACUAUAAAAAUUCUGCACUAUGAAAGGCACUGUCUGUAAAGGAAGUGGGAGGGUUUUCAGAGUAUCUAAGUUCCUCCGCCAGAGGUAGAGCCCAUAGUUUUCCUGCCGUCCCUUUUAUCUGAUCUGAGUAUUGGUCCUUCAGAGUUAGCAUUCAGGCAUCGCCAGAGGAAGAACUGAAGGUUUGCAGCAUCUAAAUGUGUGUCUAACGUAACACCUGAGCUGGAGUCAACACUGUGGGUUUGUUUUUUUAAUUUUAAAGUCAUUCUCUUC